UACGUAGGGGGCAAGCGUUGUCCGGAUUCAUUGGGCGUAAAGAGCGUGUAGGCGGCCAGGUAGGUCGGUUGUGAAAACUGGAGGCUCAACCUUCAGAGGUCGACCGAAACCAUCUGGCUAGAGUCCGGGAGAGGAGAGUGGAACUGCGAGUGUAGAGGUUAAAUUCGUAGAUAUUCGCAAGAACACCAGUGGCGAAGGCGGCUCACUGGCCCGGUACUGACGCUGAGGUGCGAAAGCGUGGGGAGCAAACAGG
rnacentral:rRNA from 1 species